GAUGAACGCUGGCGGCGUGCCUAAUACAUGCAAGUCGAGCGAACGGACGAGAAGCUUGCUUCUCUGAUGUUAGCGGCGGACGGGUGAGUAACACGUGGAUAACCUACCUAUAAGACUGGGAUAACUUCGGGAAACCGGAGCUAAUACCGGAUAAUAUUUUGAACCGCAUGAUUCAAAAGUGAAAGACGGUCUUGCUGUCACUUAUAGAUGGAUCCGCGCUGCAUUAGCUAGUUGGUAAGGUAACGGCUUACCAAGGCAACGACGCAUAGCCGACCUGAGAGGGUGAUCGGCCACACUGGAACUGAGACACGGUCCAGACUCCUACGGGAGGCAGCAGUAGGGAAUCUUCCGCAAUGGGCGAAAGCCUGACGGAGCAACGCCGCGUGAGUGAUGAAGGUCUUCGGAUCGUAAAACUCUGUUAUUAGGGAAGAACAUAUGUGUAAGUAACUGUGCACAUCUUGACGGUACCUAAUCAGAAAGCCACGGCUAACUACGUG
rnacentral:rRNA from 1 species